GUGAAUUAAACAUGCUUGGUGUCUUCGCUUCGGCAAGGCCCUUGCUUAAAUCACAUCCUAACACUGUGAACUGUAAGGACGUAUUAGAGUAGAGGUCGUCUUGGCUCCAAGUCAUCGUCUGCCCAUUUUUAAAACCAAGACAAUUAGAAUAUGUAACAAACGUAGUCUUAUUAUAACCUAAUA
rnacentral:misc_RNA from 1 species